rnacentral:rRNA from 1 species
UACGUAGGGGGCAAGCGUUGUCCGGAUUCAUUGGGCGUAAAGAGCUUGUAGGCGGUUUGUCGCGUCUGCUGUGAAAAUCCGGGGCUCAACCCCGGACUUGCAGUGGGUACGGGCAGACUAGAGUGUGGUAGGGGAGACUGGAAUUCCUGGUGUAGCGGUGGAAUGCGCAGAUAUCAGGAGGAACACCGAUGGCGAAGGCAGGUCGCUGGGCCACUACUGACGCUGAGAAGCGAAAGCAUGGGGAGCGAACAGG